rnacentral:lncRNA from 1 species
GUUGUGUUAAUGGAAGUUCCUGAAAGAACAACUGCUGUUGGAAAUCCAGCUAGAUUGAUUGGUGGGAAAGCAAAUCCAAUUAAGCUUGAUAAAAUUCCUAGUUUGACUAUGGAUCAUACUUCAUAUUUAGCUGAGUGGUCUGAUUAUGUAAUUUGAAGGGAGCCUCGCGUAGCUAGUAAAGUUGCCUCCAUCUGACCAGAAGUUUCACGAGUUUGAACCUCAAAAACAGUAUCAUAGGAUUGAUUGCUAUGUAGUAUGUACCGAUUUAGAGAUCAAAUAUAGUAAUAUGUUUCUCUUUAUGCCUUGUAAGCCACUUAUUCAUCUUUGUCAUGUUUUUUUCCCAAGAAGUCGACUGCGUUACAUGAUUUGGAUAUGCUAAAACCUUUUCUCAAAGAUAUCUUGCAAAAUAUUUGGAUCGUUGCUCCGAAUCUUGUGUUCCUAGUGUGAAACUAGUUGGCUGCCAUUUAUUUUUCUACAUCCAUAUAAUUUAUUAAAGUAGAUCGAUAUUGACCAUACAAUGAAGGCGGAUCUUAGUCCGUGGAGACCCAAGAAGGUAGGUAAAGGUAGGUACUGCAACUUGUCCGAUGCUCUCGCAGUCAAAUACCAUAUACAAGUGGAACUUACACCAUGAGCAAGUUGUGGUCAUUUAUAAAAUCUCUGCCACAGUUAGAGACCAAUCCCGACAUAGAUUUUGAGUACAACCUUUCGUCUUCUCUUCCUUUCUACUGGCGUUAUCUUACGUCGCCACACAAUCUAACGAUGGAGAAAAUGUCUCCUCUCCCAUGCUUGAGAACCCACGUGUGAAAGGAUUACUAUAUUUUAAGGACGCUACUAAAAGCAUUUUUCUAAGUCAUGUAAUAGAGGUGGAAUAUUUUUUGCUAUUUUGGUAGAGCAAAUAACCCUUUAAAAGUGAAAAUAUUGUUUCUUUUUCCCUAUUCUUUUAGUGUUCUCAUGUGGUAAAUGGGUAACUAACAGGUACAAUCCAUAUUCUCCUAGGAGAAGAGACAUUUCCUCCGGUUGAAAUGUUAUUUUAGGCCUUUAUGAAACUCUUUUACUGGAGGGGAAGGGGAGCCUUGGAGCACGGUAAAUAUGUCUAAGUCACGAGUUUGAGUAAUGGAAUCAGCCACUGUAUCAAGGUAGGCUGCU